rnacentral:rRNA from 1 species
CCUACGGGGGGCAGCAGUGAGGAAUAUUGGUCAAUGGGCGCGAGCCUGAACCAGCCAAGUAGCGUGAAGGAUGACUGCCCUACGGGUUGUAAACUUCUUUUAUAAAGGAAUAAAGUGAGGCACGUGUGCCUUUUUGUAUGUACUUUAUGAAUAAGGAUCGGCUAACUGCGGUCCAGCAGCCGCGCUAAUACGGAGGAUCCGAGCGUUAUCCGGAUUUAUUGGGUGUAAAGGGAGCGUAGAGGGGUUGUUAAGUCAGGUGUGAAAGUUUGGGGCUUAACCGUAAAAUGGCAAUUGAUACUGGCAGUCUUGAGUGCAGUUGAGGUAGGCGGAAUUCGUGGUGUAGCAGUGAAAUGCUUAGAUAUCACGAAGAACUCCGAUUGCGAAGGCAGCUUACUAAACUGCAACUGACAUUGAUGCUCGAAAGUGUGGGUAUCAAACAGGAUUAGAUACCCGAGUAGUC